AAAAACACAAACCCUGGGUUUCUAAGCCUGGCACAUUUAAUUGUCCAUCUUAUAUGAAUUUUUUUUACAAUUAUUAUUUUCAUUGUUGUUAGAUGAUAAAACAUGAUUAAUACUUUAUACGUGACUUAUCUUUUAAAUUUUUUUAAUAUUUUUUUAAAUAAAACGGACGGUCAAACAUUGGACGUGGAAAUCGGGUUUGUCUAUG
rnacentral:pre_miRNA from 1 species